AUUUAUAUAAUAUAAAUUAAUUAUAUCUGACUUCCAAUCAGAAAACCUAUCAUAUAGUAUAAAUA
rnacentral:tRNA from 1 species